GUGCCUUCUUCGGCAACACAUACACUAAAAGUGGACUGAUACAGAGAAGAUUAGCAUGGUCCCCACACAAAGACGACAUGUAAAUUUGUGAAGUAGUCCAUAUUUUA
rnacentral:snRNA from 1 species